rnacentral:rRNA from 1 species
UGGAAUACGAGCUAACUCCCAAACCCCUGUGAACAUACCAAUUGUUGCCUCGGCGGAUCAGCCCGCUCCCGGUAAAACGGGACGGCCCGCCAGAGGACCCCUAAACUCUGUUUCUAUAUGUAACUUCUGAGUAAAACCAUAAAUAAAUCAAAACUUUCAACAACGGAUCUCUUGGUUCUGGCAUCGAUGAAGAACGCAGCAAAAUGCGAUAAGUAAUGUGAAUUGCAGAAUUCAGUGAAUCAUCGAAUCUUUGAACGCACAUUGCGCCCGCCAGUAUUCUGGCGGGCAUGCCUGUUCGAGCGUCAUUUCAACCCUCAAGCCCAGCUUGGUGUUGGGACUCGCGAGUCAAAUCGCGUUCCCCAAAUUGAUUGGCGGUCACGUCGAGCUUCCAUAGCGUAGUAGUAAAACCCUCGUUACUGGUAAUCGUCGCGGCCACGCCGUUAAACCCCAACUUCUGAAUGUUGACCUCGGAUCAGGUAGGAAUACCCGCUGAACUUAAGCAUAUCAAA